rnacentral:rRNA from 1 species
CCUACGGGUUGCACCAGUGGGGAAUAUUGCACAAUGGGCGCAAGCCUGAUGCAGCCAUGCCGCGUGUGUGAAGAAGGCCUUCGGGUUGUAAAGCACUCUCAGCGGGGAGGAAGGCGGUGAGGUUAAUAACCUCAUCGAUUGACGUUACCCGCAGAAGAAGCACCGGCUAACUCCGUGCCAGCAGCCGCGGUAAUACGGAGGGUGCAAGCGUUAAUCGGAAUUACUGGGCGUAAAGCGCACGCAGGCGGUCUGUCAAGUCGGAUGUGAAAUCCCCGGGCUCAACCUGGGAACUGCAUUCGAAACUGGCAGGCUAGAGUCUUGUAGAGGGGGGUAGAAUUCCAGGUGUAGCGGUGAAAUGCGUAGAGAUCUGGAGGAAUACCGGUGGCGAAGGCGGCCCCCUGGACAAAGACUGACGCUCAGGUGCGAAAGCGUGGGGAGCAAACAGGAUUAGAU